rnacentral:rRNA from 2 species
UUGGUGAGGUAAAGGCUUACCAAGGCUUCGAUCAGUAGCUGGUCUGAGAGGACGACCAGCCACACUGGGACUGAGACACGGCCCAGACUCCUACGGGAGGCAGCAGUGGGGAAUUUUGGACAAUGGGGGCAACCCUGAUCCAGCCAUGCCGCGUGAGUGAAG